AUGACUUCAGUAUUUCUGAGAGUCACGGUGGUUCAUUUCACGUGUCACGCUGACUGGCCCGGAGCACCCAGGUUAAACUGUUCUGCGCCUGUUCUGGAGGGAGCUUCUGGGCACGAGUGGCAGUUGACCAGGGACUCGGCAGGGGAGGCGGCCCUCCCCGAUGUGGGCGGGCACGUGAAGACGCUCUUUGGAAGAAGAGCUAUGACAAACCUAGGAAGGGUAUUUAAAAGUAGACACAUCACUUUGCCAACAAAGGUCUGUGUAAUCAGAGCUAUGGUUUUUCCAGUAGUCAUGUAUGGAUGUGAGAACUGGACCGUAAAGAAGCCUGAGCACCAAAGAAUUGAUGCCUUUGAGCUGUGGUCUUGGAGAAGACUCUUGAGAGUCCCUUGGACUGCAGGAGAUCCAACCAGUCCAUUCUGAAGGAGAUCAACCUUGGGAUUUCUUUGGAAGGAAUGAUGCUAAAGCUGAAACUCCAGUACUUUGGCCACCUCAUGUGAAGAGUCAUUGGAAAAGACUGUGAUGCUGGGAGGGAUUGGGGGCAGGAGAAAAAUGGGACGACAGAGGAUGAGAUGGCUGGAUGGCAUCACUGGCUCAAUGGACUGAGUUUGAGUGAACUCCGGGAGUUGGUGAUGGACAGGGAGGCCUGGCAUGCUGUGAUUCAUGGGGUCGCAGAGUCGGACACGACUGAGCAACUGAACUGAACUGAACUUAAUGGGAUCAGAUGCCAUGAGGUUAGUUUUUUGAAUGUUGAGUUUUAAGACAGCUUUUUCACUCUCCUUUUUCAUUUUUAUCAAGAGGCUCUUUAGUUCCUCUUCGCUUUCUGCCUUUAGGGUGGUGUUAUCUGCAUAUCUGAGGUCAUUGAUAUUUCUCCCAGCAGUCUUGAUUCCAGGUUGUCCUUCAUCCAGCCCAGAAUUUCACAUGAUGUACUCUGCAUAUAAGUCAAAUAUGCAGAGUGACAAUAUACAGCCUUGAUGUACUCCUGUCCUGAUUUGGAACCAGUCUGUUGAUCCUUGUCCAGUUCUAACCGAAGUAUUGGAGUUCCAGCAUCAGAUGUGUGUUAGACUGAGUAGUACAUGUCUGUCAACCCCAAUUCCCCAGUCCGUCCUGCCACCCUCCUCCCUUGGUUCUCUAUGUCUGUGUCUGUUUGUGCUUUGCAAAUAAGUCCAUCUGUAUCAUUUUUCUAACCCACAGUUAAACAAUACUAUAUGAUUAUAUUGAACUUGCUAAUGCCGAGUUGUUCUAUUAUUUAAAAAAACAACCCACCGUCUGACAGUCUGACUUUUCUGCUGUUUCUAAGUCAUUCUUACAACACAGUGAUUUUUUCACAAAGGUUGAGCUGUGCGGAGUUUGGUUUCCAGAUGGCACUAGACCCCAUGCAGCCUACAGAGGCCACGGAUGGUGGCGGGGGGGCGCGCAGCUCACUGUCUGUGGAACAACAAGUGUGUGUGGCUGCUCCUGGGUCACCGGGCCUCCUCAGGCCAGUUCCCUCAUCACUACCCGUCUCCCCAGCGCACUCCGCGGUCGUGGUCCCCCACGCGGCCUCUGUGGCGGGGGCCCGGGCCCCUUCCGGGGUCUCCGGGGCCCC
ensembl:lincRNA